rnacentral:rRNA from 1 species
CCUACGGGGGGCAGCAGUGAGGAAUAUUGGUCAAUGGACGAGAGUCUGAACCAGCCAAGUAGCGUGAAGGAUGACUGCCCUAUGGGUUGUAAACUUCUUUUAUAUGGGAAUAAAAUGUUCCACGUGUGGGAUUUUGUAUGUACCAUAUGAAUAAGGAUCGGCUAACUCCGUGCCAGCAGCCGCGGUAAUACGGAGGAUCCGAGCGUUCGCCGGAUUUAUUGGGUUUAAAGGGAGCGUAGGUGGAUUGUUAAGUCGGUUGUGAAAGUUUGCGGCUCAACCGUAAAAUUGCAGUUGAAACUGGCAGUCUUGAGUACAGUAGAGGUGGGCGGAAUUCGUGGUGUAGCGGUGAAAUGCUUAGAUAUCACGAAGAACUCCGAUUGCGAAGGCAGUUCACUGGACUGCAACUGACACUGAGGCUCGAAAGUGUGGGUAUCAAACAGGAUUAGAUACCCUAGUAGUC